rnacentral:rRNA from 1 species
GAUGAACGCUAGCGGCAGGCUUAACACAUGCAAGUCGAGGGGUAACAGAGAAAAGCUUGCUUUUUUGCUGACGACCGGCGCACGGGUGCGUAACACGUAUGCAAUCUACCUUUUGCUAAGGGAUAGCCCAGAGAAAUUUGGAUUAAUACCUUAUAGUAUGAUGACUUGGCAUCAAGAUAUCAUUAAAGGUUACGGCAAAAGAUGAGCAUGCGUUCUAUUAGCUAGUUGGUGUGGUAACGGCAUACCAAGGCAACGAUAGAUAGGGGUCCUGAGAGGGAGAUCCCCCACACUGGUACUGAGACACGGACCAGACUCCUACGGGAGGCAGCAGUGAGGAAUAUUGGACAAUGGAGGCAACUCUGAUCCAGCCAUGCCGCGUGCAGGAAGACUGCCCUAUGGGUUGUAAACUGCUUUUAUACAGGAAGAAACACCUCUACGUGUAGAGAUUUGACGGUACUGUAAGAAUAAGGAUCGGCUAACUCCGUGCCAGCAGCCGCGGUAAUACGGAGGAUCCAAGCGUUAUCCGGAAUCAUUGGGUUUAAAGGGUCCGUAGGUGGAUAAUUAAGUCAGAGGUGAAAUCCUGCAGCUUAACUGUAGAAUUGCCUUUGAUACAGGUUGUCUUGAGUUAUUAUGAAGUGGUUAGAAUAUGUAGUGUAGCGGUGAAAUGCAUAGAUAUUACAUAGAAUACCAAUUGCGAAGGCAGAUCACUAAUAAUAUACUGACACUGAUGGACGAAAGCGUGGGGAGCGAACAGGAUUAGAUACCCUGGUAGUCCACGCCGUAAACGAUGGUCACUAGCUGUUCGGGUUUCGAUCUGAGUGGCUAAGCGAAAGUGAUAAGUGACCCACCUGGGGAGUACGUUCGCAAGAAUGAAACUCAAAGGAAUUGACGG